GAAAUGCGAUAAGUAGUGUGAAUUGCAGAAUUCAGUGAAUCAUCGAAUCUUUGAACGCACAUUGCGCCCUUUGGUAUUCCUUAGGGCAUGCCUGUUCGAGCGUCAUCUAAACCUUCAAGCCCUGCUUGGUGUUGGGUGCCUGUCCCGCCUCCGCGCGCGGACUCACCUCAAAUCCAUUGGCGGCCCCCGCGUCGGCCACGAGCGCAGCAGAAACGCGAACUCGUGAGCCCGUCCGGGCGGCUCCCAGAAGCUACACCCACCCAGUUUGACCUCGGCUCAGGUAGGGAUACCCGCUGAACUUAAGC
rnacentral:misc_RNA from 1 species